rnacentral:rRNA from 1 species
CAGAUCCAGCUUGCUGGAUGCUGACGAGCGGCGGACGGGUGAGUAACGCAUAGGAAUUUACCCGGUAGUGGGGGAUAACCUGGGGAAACUCAGGCUAAUACCGCAUACGUCCUACGGGAGAAAGGGGGCUUUGGCUCCCGCUAUCGGAUGAGCCUAUGCCGGAUUAGCUGGUUGGUGAGGUAAUGGCUCACCAAGGCGACGAUCCGUAGCUGGUCUGAGAGGAUGAUCAGCCACAUCGGGACUGAGACACGGCCCGAACUCCUACGGGAGGCAGCAGUGGGGAAUAUUGGACAAUGGGGGCAACCCUGAUCCAGCCAUGCCGCGUGUGUGAAGAAGGCCCUCGGGUUGUAAAGCACUUUCAGCGAGGAAGAACGCCUGGUGGUUAAUACCCGCCAGGAAAGACAUCACUCGCAGAAGAAGCACCGGCUAACUCCGUGCCAGCAGCCGCGGUAAUACGGAGGGUGCAAGCGUUAAUCGGAAUUACUGGGCGUAAAGCGCGCGUAGGUGGCUUGAUAAGCCGGUUGUGAAAGCCCCGGGCUCAACCUGGGAACGGCAUCCGGAACUAUGAGGCUAGAGUGCAGGAGAGGAAGGUAGAAUUCCCGGUGUAGCGGUGAAAUGCGUAGAGAUCGGGAGGAAUACCAGUGGCGAAGGCGGCCUUCUGGACUGACACUGACACUGAGGUGCGAAAGCGUGGGUAGCAAACAGGAUUAGAUACCCUGGUAGUCCACGCCGUAAACGAUGUCGACCAGCCGUUGGGUGCCUAGCGCACUUUGUGGCGAAGUUAACGCGAUAAGUCGACC